GAUGAACGCUGGCGGCGUGCCUAAUACAUGCAAGUCGAGCGAACAGACGAGGAGCUUGCUCCUCUGACGUUAGCGGCGGACGGGUGAGUAACACGUGGAUAACCUACCUAUAAGACUGGGAUAACUUCGGGAAACCGGAGCUAAUACCGGAUAAUAUAUUGAACCGCAUGGUUCAAUAGUGAAAGACGGUUUUGCUGUCACUAAUAGAUGGUUCCGCGCCGCAUUAGCUAGUUGGUAAGGUAACGGCUUACCAAGGCUACGAUGCGUAGCCGACCUGAGAGGGUGAUCGGCCACACUGGAACUGAGACACGGUCCAGACUCCUACGGGAGGCAGCAGUAGGGAAUCUUGCGCAAUGGGCGAAAGCCUGACGGAGCAACGCCGCGUGAGUGAUGAAGGUCUUCGGAUCGUAAAGCUCUGUUAUUAGGGAAGAACAAAUGUGUAAGUAACUAUGCACGUCUUGACGGUACCUAAUCAGAAAGCCACGGCUAACUACGUG
rnacentral:rRNA from 1 species